CUGGACACGCAAUGACCACCCUGGUCAAUAUAAAUAACCAUCAGUUUCUCCGGAAGAUCAUUCUGGCUGUCUACCUCUGCAGUGUAAGAAUCAUCGCCCGCCCCGCCCACCUCUCACCAUGAACAAGUCUCUGAUGCUCGUGUUGAUCCCCUGCCUGGUGGCUUACGUCAUGGCCCAGUAUUACCAGCCUGGAUACGGUGGUAUGGCUGGAUACGGUGGUGGGUACGGGCCUGGAACCUACUACAACUACGCCGCGCAGAGCGCCCAAGGAGCCAAGACAAGCAACUUGUUGAACUAUGGUCUUCUCUUCUUCGCCAUCCUCAUCCUGACCAAUGCCACUGGUAGUAUCACUGGUUAGAGUUGGAUACAAAGAGCAAGCUAGUACACGCAUAUCAAAUGAUUUCCACAGUCGGCCUAACAUAACUAUUAUAUUGCGCGAUCGUCACCAGAUAUUGUUGCUUCUCUUCUGUUAUUGUUUUAAUAAAAAAUAUUUAUUGGA